GCUCGAUAAGAUCACUAUGACCUUGCACACAGGCGCUAGCCUCCUUCUUAAUUAUCUCGUUCUCUUUCGCCUUGAGUUUUUCUGAAAAUUUACACAGAUCAGCAGCCCGGCUCACCUUGGCAUCUUCCAGCUCCUUCUGCAACCGAGUUACAUGCUCCUCAGAAGAUCGCACUUGCUCUUCCAAGUCAUGCACCCUGGCAACUGCUACGUUCAAACUAUUUUUAUAGGCUACAGCUUCGCUGACCGCCUUAGACAUCUCCCUCCUAAUGAAGUUCACCUUCUCUUUCAUCGUGUGUUGAGUGGCAACUGCUUCCAAGAUCAAGCUCAUAAAUUGAUUUAGGAGAUAAUCAAUACUCUCCA
rnacentral:misc_RNA from 1 species